GACGAACGCUGGCGGCGUGCUUAACACAUGCAAGUCGAACGGAAAGGCCCUGCUUUUGUGGGGUGCUCGAGUGGCGAACGGGUGUGUAACACGUGAGUAACCUGCCCUUGACUUUGGGAUAACUUCAGGAAACUGGGGCUAAUACCGGAUAGGAGCUCCUGCUGCAUGGUGGGGGUUGGAAAGUUUCGGCGGUUGGGGAUGGACUCGCGGCUUAUCAGCUUGUUGGUGGGGUAGUGGCUUACCAAGGCUUUGACGGGUAGCCGGCCUGAGAGGGUGACCGGCCACAUUGGGACUGAGAUACGGCCCAGACUCAUACGGGAGGCAGCAGUGGGGAAUAUUGCACAAGGGGCGGAAGCCUGAUGCAGCAACGCCGCGUGCGGGAUGACGGCCUUCGGGUUGUAAACCGCUUUCGCCUGUGACGAAGCGUGAGUGACGGUAAUGGGUAAAGAAGCACCGGCUAACUACGUG
rnacentral:rRNA from 1 species